GGCAGUUUUUGGGGUGCUGGGGGCAGUUUGUGGGUGGGGUCAGUCCGGGCUGUCCCGGGGUGACCCCUCCCUGUCCCUGUCCCCUGCGUCCCCUCCCGUCCCGCAGUGUCCCCGGCGCUGGCAGGCGCAGAGCCCUCGGUGCCGCUGUCCCGGCCCCGGCCGGGCCCCCAGGCCACCGAGGGGGCGCCCUUCAGCUGCGCGGCCGGCCGCAAGGACAAGGCCGUGGAUCCAGUGGAGUGGUCGGUGCGGGACGUGGUGGAGUAUUUCACCGAGGCCGGCUUCCCCGAGCAGGCUGGGGCCUUCCAGGAGCAGGAGAUCGACGGCAAGUCGCUGCUGCUGAUGCAGAGGGCCGAUGUGCUGACGGGGCUCUGUGUCCCUGUGUCCCCAGUGCUGUCCC